rnacentral:rRNA from 1 species
AUGAGUGAGCCAACAGGCCUUGCUGAGGCUUUCGAGAAGCUAGCUAAGUUCCUCGAGGAGUCGAAAUCUGGGGCCAUCGUUCCUCGACAGGAAGUGGCUCAGAAGAUCGAACUGUCACCCAUGGACAUGAAGUUAGAGGGGACUACCAAUUAUCUGAGCUGGUCCCGGAGGGCGUUGCUAGCUGUGGAACAGAAGGAGCUUGAUGGGCACUUGUUGGGUGUUGUUGCUGAACCAGGAGACAAGACUACUGUGGAGGGAAAGAGAUGGAAGGUCAUAAACUCUAUGCUCAUUGGCUGGUUGUUGAACUCGGUAGUGCCCCCCAUUGGACGCUCUGUGGAGGGGCUAUCCACAUCCGCUGCGAUAUGGACGACUCUGUCCACUUUGUACUCAGGCAAGGGCAAUGUCAUGCUAAUUGCUCAGAUUGAGGGGAAGAUCAGUCGGCUGCAUCAAGGUGACGACAUGUCAGUGAUGGCAUAUGUGGCAGAGCUGCAGGCUCUGUGGGCAGAGCAGGAUAACUGCGACCCUCUGGAACUCUAUGAUGCGGCUUGCAUCGAGUCAGGGCGCAAGUGGAUUGCACGCAGGCGUGUGCUGAAACUGUUGGAGGGUCUUAGAGGUUGCUUUCAUGGCAGGAGGGCUUCCCUGUUGCACCAACCUCUUCUGCCCUCUAUUGAGGAGGCUAUUGCUGCAAUGUCUCAAGAGGAGGUGCGGCUAUCUCUUGAGCAUGCAGACAUGAAGGCUGUGCCGGCUUCGACAUUUGUUGUCACUGAGCGCAUGGAAUGGAGCGAUCCCAACAAAUGUCAUAUCUGUGGGGAGAUAGGUCACUGGAAGUGGGCCUGUCCAACUCGUGGCAGAGGCAGGGGAUACAACAGAGGGGGAACUGGCAGAGGCAGGAGUAGAGGCAGAGGUGGAUACUCAGGGACCUCAAGGGGUCAGGCUUCUAUGGGCAGAGGUGGUUACUCAGGACACUCAGGAGAUCAGAGGGCUCACAUGGCAGUGGCAGGAGACACUGGGACGUCAAAAGGCAAAGAUGCAGACGAUGCUAACUAUGGAGACUUUGCUCUCUGGGCCUCCACUGAUGAAGGAGCGACAGACGAGUCAGACGGUUGGGACUGGCACCAGGCGUAG